rnacentral:miRNA from 1 species
AGGCCCUGAAUCAAGACCAGCAGU